GAUGAACGCUGGCGGCGUGCCUAAUACAUGCAAGUCGAGCGAACAGACGAGGAGCUUGCUCCUCUGACGUUAGCGUCGGACGGGUGAGUAACACGUGGAUAACCUACCUAUAAGACUGGGAUAACUUCGGGAAACCGGAGCUAAUACCGGACAAUAUAUUUAAUCGCAUGGUUCAAUAGUGAAGAACGGUUUUGCUGUCACUUAUAGAUGGAUCCGCGCCGCAUUAGCUAGUUGGUAAGGUAACGGCUUACCAAGGCAACGAUGCGUAGCCGACCUGAGAGGGUGAUCGGCCACACUGAAACUGAGACACGGUCCAGACUCCUACGGGAGGCAGCAGUAGGGAAUCUUCCGCAAUGGGCGAAAGCCUGACGGAGCAACGCCGCGUGAGUGAUGAAGGUCUUCGGAUCGUAAAACUCUGUUAUUAGGGAAGAACAAAUGUGUAAGUAACUAUGCACGUCUUGACGGUACCUAAUCAGAAAGCCACGGCUAACUACGUG
rnacentral:rRNA from 1 species